UUGAAUCAUGCCCAGAAGCUCGAAAAAUUCAUUCAUACGUCGAUUUGAUCGAAUACUAUGCGAUAUUUCUCUCGAGUUAGCGAAAUUUCGACGUUUAAACUCUCAUUUUACUACAUUUUACACGCAGAACGUAGUGCGCGCGAUAGCCAGUGUCGAUGCAAUCGCAUUCAGCUCUUAAAAUUCAAUCAUUCUUCGAUUUGAUCGAAAACUAAGCGAUAUUUCUCUCCUGAUUGAGAUAUUGUUACGUUAUGUUAUGUUCGAUUUGAUUGUGCCAUGCCUUCCGUGUUAGUCUAGACUAAAUCCAGAUAAAAUUUUUUUUUUUUUUUUUUUUUUUUUUUUUUUUUGUUGUUGUUGUUGUUGUGUUAUCUUAAGUUUAAUCGGAAGGGGGAAAUUGAAAUGGUAUGAUUGUUUAUGAAAUAUUAAUCGAGAUGUCCGAUUAAUAUGGUAGUUGCUGC
rnacentral:misc_RNA from 1 species